rnacentral:rRNA from 1 species
AUGGCGCUGCCACUGCUCUUCCUCUUCUCCCUCUUGCUUCAAGCUCCUUUGCACGCACAGGCACUCCAAAACAUCACACUAGGAUCUACCCUGACCACUCAAGGCCCAAACGCCUCACGGAUUUCACCCUCCGGUGAGUUCGCGUUCGGCUUCCGCCCCAGCGAUGCCGACGCCUCUGUCUACCUUCUCGCCGUCUCGUUCGACAAGAUCACCUCCAAAACCGUUGUCUGGUACGCCAACACCAACACAACACUGCCAGUUGGCUCCCAACUGCAGCUCACGCCUGGUGGCGUGCUUUCGCUCCAGGACCCUGCCGGCACAGAGAUAUGGAACCCCCGGGUGACCAACGCCGACCAUGCCGCCAUGCUCGACACAGGCAAUUUCGUGCUCUAUGCCAAAGAUGGCUCCAUCAAAUGGCAGAGCUUUGAACACCCAACCGACACCAUCCUGCCCUCCCAGGAGCUGCCUAAAGGGUCCGUCCUGCAAAGCCGGCUCAUGGACAACGACUACUCAGCUGGAAGGUUCCAACUCAGCGUAGAGCGUGAUGGCAACUUAAGGUUUUACACCUUGGCUGUUCCCUACACCGUGGCUGUUUCCUCCCUUUUCCGCUAUGAUCCUCCAUAUUGGGAUUCUCACACUGGUGGAAAUGGUUCAAGCCUCGUGUUCAACACAACUGGCAGCAUCUACUACACUACAAAUUCUGGCAGACAAAUCAAUAUUACAUCAGAAACACUUGACUCACCGGCAGACUUCUACCAGCGCGCCACACUUGAUGCAGAUGGGGUGUUCAGGCAAUACGUGUACCCCAAGAAGGCAGCUCAGAUCAGUGGAUUGAACACGGAGUGGAAAGUUAUGGACGUACUCCCACGAAACUUCUGUCGGGCUGCUGCAGUAGAGACUGGAAGUGGUGCCUGUGGGUUCAACAGCUAUUGCAGCUUCAGCUUCAACACAAGCAAGAGUGUGGAAUGUGAGUGCCCACCAAACUACUCAUUCAUCGACAACGAGAGGAAGUACAAAGGUUGCAAGCAAGACUUCCCUCCACAUAGCUGUGGCUUGGAUGAUACUGAAUCUACUCAGAAUUUCAAGCUACUUCCAAUGAACAAUAUCAAUUGGCCUUUUGGCGACUAUGAGCGUUACAGCCCCAUUGGUGAGGAUUCUUGCCAAAGACUUUGCUUAACUGAUUGCUUUUGUGUUGCUGCGGUGUACUACAACAGUUCUUGCUGGAAAAAGAGGAGCCCCUUGUCCAACGGAAUGGAAGGUGACAUACUGGGAUCAGUUUUUAUCAAAGUUCCCAGGACUGAUAUUCCUGGGUCCCAGUCGGCCAGUAACUCCAAUAGAUGGAGAAAAGAGAAGAGGUAUUGGAUAAUAGGAAGUUCACUGCUCCUUGGAGGAUCUGCCCUUGUUAUUCUGUAUUUUGGAUCUUACCGUGUCAUUGGCCGAAAGAAGCCAGCCCAGAUACAAUCAAUGAGUCCCGAGGCAUUGCCUCUUAGAGCAUUCACGUACAAGGAGAUUGAGAAGGCGACAGAUGGAUUUCGUGAAGAGCUGGGUAGCGGUGCAUCUGGUAUCGUAUACAAGGGCCAGCUGGAAGAUGAGUUUGGGACUGGCAUUGCAGUCAAGAAGAUUGACAAGAUGCUCCAAGAGAGUGAAAAGGAGUUCGCCAUUGAGGUUCAAACCAUCGGAAGGACCUUCCACAGAAACUUGGUACGGUUGCUUGGUUUCUGCACACAAGGAAAAGAGAGGCUUCUGGUGUACGAGUUGAUGACCAGUGGCUCGCUUAAUGGAUUCCUUUUUUGUGGUACAAGGCCAACCUGGAACCUUCGCGUUCAAGUCGCACUUGGGUUGGCAAGAGGCCUGCUCUACUUACAUGAGGAAUGCAACACUCAAAUAAUCCAUUGUGACAUAAAGCCCCAAAACAUCCUUCUUGAUGAGAAUCUCGUGGCAAAGAUCUCAGACUUUGGCCUAGCAAAGUUGCUCAGGACAAAUCAGACACAGACGAACACUGGCAUCAGGGGAACUCGAGGGUACGUCGCCCCCGAGUGGUUCAAAAACAUAGGGAUCACAUCCAAGGUGGAUGUUUAUAGUUUUGGGGUGAUCUUGCUAGAGAUUGUGUGUUGCAGACGGAAUGUGGAGCCAGAGACAGCUGAUGAGGAGCAAGCAAUACUGACAUAUUGGGCAAAUGACUGCUACAGAAGUGGGAGGCUUGACUUGUUAGUCAAGGGUGAUGAUGAGGCAAUCUUCAAUAUAAAGAAGGUGGAACGCUUCGUGGCCGUGGCAUUGUGGUGUCUCCAAGAGGAGCCAACAAUGCGGCCAAGCAUGCUGAAAGUGACACAGAUGCUUGAUGGAUCCGUUCCAAUCCCCACACCCCCUGAUCCAUCUUCCUUCAUUAGUUCACUCCAAUAG